UCAGUACCGUGAGGGAAAGGCGAAAAGAACCCCGGGAGGGGAGUGAAAUAGAUCCUGAAACCGUGUGCGUACAAGCAGUAGGAGCUCGCAAGAGUGACUGCGUACCUUUUGUAUAAUGGGUCAGCGACUUACUGUUCGUGGCAAGCUUAACCGUAUAGGGGAGGCGAAGGGAAACCGAGUCUGAUAAGGGCGCAUAGUCGCGGGCAGUAGACCCGAAACCGGGUGAUCUAGUCAUGGCCAGGGUGAAGGUGCCGUAACAGGUACUGGAGGCCCGAACCCACGUCUGUUGCAAAAGACGGGGAUGAGCUGUGAUUAGGAGUGAAAAGCUAAUCGAACCCGGAGAUAGCUGGUUCUCCUCGAAAGCUAUUUAGGUAGCGCCUCGGACGAAUACUACUGGGGGUAGAGCACUGUUAUGGCUAGGGGGUCAUCGCGACUUACCAAACCAUUGCAAACUCCGAAUACCAGUACGUACUAUCCGGGAGACACACGGCGGGUGCUAACGUCCGUCGUGAAAAGGGAAACAACCCAGACCCACAGCUAAGGUCCCAAAUUCACUGCUAAGUGGAAAACGAUGUGGAAAGGCAUAGACAGCCAGGAGGUUGGCUUAGAAGCAGCCACCCUUUAAAGAAAGCGUAAUAGCUCACUGGUCGAGUCGGUCUGCGCGGAAGAUUUAACGGGGCUAAGCAGUGAACCGAAGCUUGGGGUGCGUAAAACUUCGGUUUUAUGCGCGGUAGAGGAGCGUUCCGUAAGCCUGCGAAGGUGGAUUGAGAAGUCUGCUGGAGGUAUCGGAAGUGCGAAUGCUGACAUGAGUAACGAUAAUGCGGGUGAAAAGCCCGCACGCCGUAAGCCCAAGGUUUCCUGUUCAACGUUCAUCGGAGCAGGGUGAGUCGGCCCCUAAGGCGAGGCAGAGAUGCGUAGCUGAUGGGAAACAGGUCAAUAUUCCUGUACCGAUCAAUAGUGCGAUGUGGGGACGGAGAAGGUUAGCUCAGCCAACUGUUGGAUAUGUUGGUUCAAGCCUGUAGUCGUGCCUGGUAGGCAAAUCCGCCGGGCUUAGAUGAGGGGUGAUAACGAGUCUGCUUGCAGACGAAGUGAGUGAUACCCUGCUUCCAGGAAAAGCCACUAAGCUUCAGCUUGCAGCUGACCGUACCGCAAACCGACACUGGUGCGCGAGAUGAGUAUUCUCAGGCGCUUGAGAGAACUCGGGAGAAGGAACUCGGC
rnacentral:rRNA from 1 species